UGCAAAGGUUCCGCUGCUUGGCAACGUACGGCCUUAUUUUCAGUGAGACCUUCUUCAUUUCCAUCUACAUUUAGCUAAGAUCCUUCACCUCUAGAUAUAAGACAUAUUUUUCCUGGCAUAAUUGUAUGGUUUCCCCUUCUAUUAUCAGUUUUAAGCUUCGUUCUUUUGUUCCUCAUUUAGUUGCAAUGUUUUCAAAAUAAUCUCGUGCUACACGACAAAUCAGUACUCAACAUAAUAUGAGUCGGCAAAUCUACAUCGCGUGUUAUCAAUAAGUCUUGGAAACUACUUUUUCCUUCCAUAUUAACUUGUCUUUUACCGUCAUUUUCAAUAUGGUAUCUUUGCACAGAGACAAUAUUCACAGGUUUCGCUUCACAGUUAUUUACUGCGAGCCCUAAUUCUUUAAUAAAUUCAUCCGUUAAAAACUCACACACGCUCCUGUUUCUAGGAGUGCUGCCACUUUUGCAUAUGUGUUAUCAUGAGUAGUGCGAUCUGCCUACCAAAGUUACUCUUGAGUUAUGUUAAUUAUAGCCUUCUUUUCAUUAUUUUUAAGGUCACUCCCUUGUUCGUUAUAGCCUUCAUCUUAUUAUAUUAAAGGUUACUCCCUUGUUCGUUAUAGCCUUCAUCUUAUUAUAUUAAAGGUUACUCCCUUGUUCGUUAUAGCCUUCAUCUUAUUAUAUUAAAGGUUACUCCCUUGUUCGUUAUAGCCUUCAUCUUAUUAUAUUAAAGGUUACUCCCUUGUUCGUUAUAGCCUUCAUCUUAUUAUAUUAAAGGUUACUCCCUUGUUCGUUAUAGCCUUCAUCUUAUUAUAUUAAAGGUUACUCCCUUGUUCGUUAUAGCCUUCAUCUUAUUAUAUUAAAGGUUACUCCCUUGUUCGUUAUAGCCUUCAUCUUAUUAUAUUAAAGGUUACUCCCUGUUUUGUUCUUCGCUCAUUUUCCGUUUUUU